rnacentral:rRNA from 1 species
UCUUUACUGGGCGAAGCCUGAAAUGCGACGCCCGUGAGCGAUGAAGGCCUUCGGGUCGUAAAGCUCUGUCACACGGGAGGAAAUGCAGAUAUGCAAAUAGCGUAUCUGUUUGACAGUACCGUGAGAGGAAGCCACGGCUAACUCCGUGCCAGCAGCCGCGGUAAUACGGAGGUGGCAAGCGUUGUUCGGAUUUAUUGGGUGUAAAGGGCAUGUAGGCGGUUAUGUAAGUCAAAUGUGAAAUCCCUCAGCUCAACUGAGGAAGUGCAUUUGAAACUACAUAGCUUGAGUGUAGGAGAGGAGAGCGGAAUUCCCGGUGUAAGGGGGGGAUCUUUAGAUAUCGGGAGGAACACCAGUGGCGAAGGCGGCUCUCUGGUCUGCAACUGACGCUGAAAUGCGAAAG